AUAUUUCGCAAUGGAGGAAACUCUGACGCAGCGACGCCGCGUGAGCGAUGAAGGUUUNNNGAUCGNANAGCUCUGUCCUUGGGNAANNAGGUCUUCGGACUUGACGGUACUCAAGAAGAAAGCCCCGGCUAACUACGUGCCAGCAGCCGCGGUAAUACGUAGGGGGCAAGCGUUGUCCGGAAUUAUUGGGCGUAAAGGGUGCGUAGGCGGGCUUUUAAGUCAGAUGUGAAAGCCCACGGCUUAACCGUGGGAUUGCAUUUGAAACUGGAAGGCUUGAGUAUCGGAGAGGGUAGUGGAAUUCCCAGUGUAGCGGUGAAAUGCGUAGAUAUUGGGAGGAACACCAGUGGCGAAGGCGACUACCUGGACGAAAACUGACGCUGAGGCACGAAAGCGUGGGGAGCAAACA
rnacentral:rRNA from 1 species